rnacentral:rRNA from 1 species
UACGUGGGGUGCAAGCGUUAAUCGGAAUUACUGGGCGUAAAGCGUGCGCAGGCGGUUGUGCAAGACAGAUGUGAAAUCCCCGGGCUUAACCUGGGAACUGCAUUUGUGACUGCACGGCUAGAGUGUGUCAGAGGGGGGUAGAAUUCCACGUGUAGCAGUGAAAUGCGUAGAUAUGUGGAGGAAUACCGAUGGCGAAGGCAGCCCCCUGGGAUAACACUGACGCUCAUGCACGAAAGCGUGGGGAGCAAACAGG